GUAUGUACAUUUUUUAAUGUCAGAAAAAUCUUUCCACAGACUUAAAUUAUCGGGAAGAAGUUUCUUUUUUCAAGGCAGAGUUGCUUAAAAUGGAUUGGAUGAUUUCCAAGAUUUUCAAAAUAGGUUCUGAUCUGGCUUGAGACAUUUAUACAUAUUUUUCAAAAACAAGACACUUUUGGGAAAAUUAAAUAAGAUUAGAAGAUGAGGCUUUCUGAGCAAGAAAUGGGUUUUACAAAUUAACUAUUAAAAAGCCUACUUACUAUAAAUUCAAUUUAAUCCCAGUGAAAUCCAAAAAGGUAUUUUUUCUUUUUUGGUGGAAACGGAAAAGUUAAUUCUGAAAUUUACAUGCAAAUGAAAAGUAUCUAUAAGAGACGAUACUACCCGUCAAAAGAACAAUGUUGGACGACUCACACUAUCUGACUUUAAGACUAUAAAAUGAUAGUAACCUAAACAAUAUGGCGUGAGCAGGCAAGGAGAUGGUUGGAACAAAAUAUAUGCCAUUAAUUAAUUUUCAACACAACGUAAACAGUCAACAAUUUUUCAGUUAAUGCUGUUUAAUGGAGAAAGAAGUUUCUUUUCAACAAAUAGAGCCACAACAACUACACAAAUGUGGGGAAAAAAUGAACUUUAAUUCUUACAGCAUAUGCAAAAAUCAGUUUAGGAUAGAUUAUAGUUUUAGCUAUGUGGUUAGGGCUGCAGGUCUCUUAGAAUCAUUGUGGUACCGUAAAACUAUAGAGCUUCUGGAGGAAAAUGCAAUAUUUUUGCAGCUUUAAGUUUGGGUGGAUUGCUCAGAGGGGACACAAAAAGCAAUAAAUAUAAAGGAAAGAGUUAAAAAUUUGACUUUACCUGAAUUAAACUUCCAUUGAUUGAAAGACUGUAGAAAAUGAAAAGUGGUCCGGGCAUGGUGGCUUACACCUGUAAUCCCAGCACUUUGAGAGACCCAGGGGGUGGAUCACUUAAGGUCAGGAGUUUGAGACCUGCCUGGCCAACAUGGUAAAACCCCAUCUCUACUAAAAAUACAAAAUAUUAGCCAGGUUGCAGUGAUCGCCACCUGUAAUCCCAGCUACUUGGCAGGCUGAGGCAGGAGAAUGGCUUGAACCUGGGUGGUGGAGGUUGUAGUGAGCCGAGAUUGUGCCACUGCACUCCAGCCUGGGCAACACAGUGAGACUCCAUCUCAGAAAGAAAAAAAAAAAGAGGAAAUGAAAAGUGAAGUCACAGAUUGGGAGACAAAGUAUUUGCAAUACAUGUAUCCGACAAACGAUUUAUCUCUCCUAAAAAUGACAUAAAAAACUCCUAAAAAUCAAUUUAAAAGAAGAAAAAUAGCCUAAUUUUUAAAUGAGCAAAAGACAGAUACUUUUCUAAAGGAAGAUCCCUAAAUGGCCAAGUUCAUGAAAAGAAGCUCAACAUCAAUUGUUAUCUGGGAAUUGAAAUUUGAAGCCCAAAUGAGGUACCACUACACACACACAACAAUGGCUAAAAUUUUAGAAUUGACAAUGACAAUAUCCAGCACUGCUGAGGAUGUGAAGAAACUGGAAUUCUCAUACAUGUGGUGGAAAUUGUAAAACUGUUCAACCACUGUAUGGGGUUGAAUAGUGUCCCCCAACUUCAUGUCUAACUGGAACCUCAGAAUGUGACCUUAUUUGAAAAUGGGAUAUUUACAGGUGUAAUCAAGUUAUAAUGAGGUCAUGCUGGUUUAGAAUGGGUCCUAAAUCAAAUGACUGGUGUCCUUAUUAGAGGAUGGAAAUUGAUACACAGAGACACAGAGGAGACAUACAGGGAAGAGGCCAAGUGAAGACAGAUGAGCUUGAGGCAGAGAUUGAAAUUAUGCUGCCACAAACUAAGGAAUGCCAAGGGUUGCCAGCAACCACCAGAAGUUGGAAGGGGCAAGGAAGGAUUCUUUCCUAGAGCUGUCAGAGGGAGUGUGGCUCUGAGAACACCUUGAUACUGGACUCCUGGACUCCUGAACUCAGAGAAUAAAUUUCUCUUGUUCUGAUCCACCCAGUUUUUGGUAUUUUGUUAUGGAAUUCCUAGGAAAGGAACACCACCACUUUGAAAAAUGUUGGCAGUGUCUUGUAAUAUUAAACACCUACAACUUCCCUAUGACCCAGCAAUUCCACUCUUAGGUAUUCACCUAAAUAAAAGAAAGCAUAUAUCCACACAAAUACAUAUAUAAGAAUGUUUAUGGAAGCUUUAGUGAUAGUAGUCAAAACUGGAAACAUUUUAAGGAUUUACGAAGAAAACGAAUAAAAAAUUAUGUUCAUAUAGUUGAACACUAUUCAGCAAUAAAAGAAUAAAGUACAAAUGCACUCUACAGUGUGGAUGAACAUCAAAAAUAUAUUGGGCAAAAGAAGCCAGACACAAAAAACGCAUGUAUACUGUGUGAGUCCAUUUACAUGAAGGUCAAAGUCAGGUAGAAGUGUUCUCAGGUAAUAGAAACCAGUGAGGGCAGGGACUGGCCUGAGAGAUCAUGAGGAAACAUUCUCACGCAUUGGAAAAGUCAUGCGUCUUGAUUGUGGCAGUGUUUUACAUUAGUGUAUACACAUUUGUCAAAACUCACUGGAUUAUUUCCUUAAAUGAAUACACUUUAUUAAAUGUAAAUUAUAACAAAACAUAAACCUUGGAGCAAGCCCUCGUAUAUAAUGCUUGCCUCAAUCAAAAAGAAAAGAAAACCCCACUUUAAAGACUGAAUUAAAAACUUCUAUCCCCAUUCCCUUUCUUUCUUUCUUUUUUUUUUUUUUUUUUGAGAUAGGGUCUCUCUGUCAUCCACCCAGGCUAAAGUGCAGUAGCGUGAUCAUGUCUCACGGCAGCCUCGACCUCCUGGGCUCAAGUGAUCCUCCCUGCUCAGACUCUGUAGCAGCUGGGACUACAGGCACAAGCCACCAUGCCGGGCUACUCUUUCCAUUUUUUAAAACUGCAUUAGUUAUCUACUUUCUAAACUCACUUUUAAUUCUUAACAGCGGAAGAAACGCGUUUUUCCCCGCCACUGCAUUUGAGGAAUGGAAAAAUAAACCAAAAUCGUUCAUCGGGCCUGAGAAACCUUGAGAAGCAUAUUACCCUACGGUUGUUUUUUCAUCGAAAAGUUGAAGGAUUUCUGACAUCUCAAUUAGUAACGCAUCUGGAAUGUUUGCUCUCCAGGAAUAGAUGUACCCACCAAAAGCCUUGCUUGCAGCCACCUCCACGUCUCUCAACCUGCCUGAGUGCAGGGCUUAUGUUACAAGGAAUUCUCAAAGCUGUGUUAUCAAAGCUGUGAAAUCAAAGUCUCUACCCCUCUGAAGUUUACCCGGAUGGCCUGACUCAUCCCAGAGAUGGACUCCAAACCUCCCACUUUGCCUGGAAACCUUCAGAAUCUGGCUCCAACCCACCUAUUAUCUGAGGGUCAAGUCCUGCAUCAGAUUGUAUUUUCCAAUGUUGGCUGCAACAAGAUCUUGAUGUGACCUUGACAUUCCUCCCAUAGAGUGGUGGAGUCUACGUCCCCUCUCCUGGAGACUGAGUGGAGCUUUGUGACUGCUGCAGCCAUUGGAGUAUGGCAGAAGUGCUGUUAUGUCACUUAUGAGAUUGGAUCAUAAAAAUGCCACACACUUCCUUCCUCUCUUGGAAUGCUGAGGCCAUGUUGUGAGGAAGUCCAAUGAGCCCCUGUGGAGAGACCAUAUAGAAUGACUACUUUGAGAUGUUCCAGCUUACAGCCCUGCUCGGCCCUAGCCAACAGCCAGCAUCUUUCACCAGACAUAUGAGUGACGACCCUCCAGAUGAUUCCAGCUUCCAGCCAGUGAAUCACAUCUAGCUUUCAAGUCUUCCCAGCCGAGGCCCCAAGCAUUGUGAAGCAGAGAAUGACCUCAUGUCUUUCUACCUGAAGCCUGCUAUACCAUUUGUUGCACACAACUUCUACAAUCUCUAUGGACUUUAUACAAUGUACUUAAUAAUGAAAAGCACUGAAGAGAGAGGAAGAAACAGGGAAAAGGGAGACCAAGUCAUAUCAGGAUUUGAAUUUGAAAAUCAUCCAGGAAAUCAGAUGAUGCCUGGAAGUGUAUUAACUAUCCUGAGCUGACAACAUGCCGACCCACUAAUGGAAAAUUGUGACUAACACACCUGCCAGGUUACUAGAUUUUUCCCUUCAUAGAUAUUUUCUUGGUGCAUGUUUGAAUGAAUGGAUGAUUAAUUGAUAAGAUUUUAAAAGAGUUCGGUUGACACCAAUCAUAACUGGAAGCAAAAGAGAUUCAUCUGAGUUCUUUCAAAUUAUGCUUGCCUGACACCUUCUCCACUUCAACUUGUUGAAAGGCCCAGGGUGAAUCACCUGCCUGCACAAUAUAACAAAGGGAACAGCACAUGCACCCAUGGGCCUCUGCUAAUCUCUGGGCUGACCUCUGUUAGCCCCAUGGUUAUUCUGGUCUAGACAGGCUUAUGCUGAGAAAUACUUUACAUUUUCUGAAGACAAGUGUUAUGUAAUUCUGGUGCUUAGAGAAUACUUAAAUGAUUCUUCCAAAUUGUGCUCCUAAUUUCUGAAUGUCA
rnacentral:lncRNA from 1 species